AAAAGAGAAGGACGUUCAAAGUACCGCAGCCGUGCAGAUUUGGAGUUACUCAAUAAUUUCCAUUCUUAAAUUUGGCUUUCAGCUGCUUGUGCCUUGUCAAAGGAGAUUGGAUCCAAGUGGAUUACGUAUUACAUUGCCUAUUCUCAGAGCUGGUUGAUUUGCAAGCUUCAGCAAAACUGAUCUAGCAAAUUUGGAAAAAGUCUGACACAAACAAGUUUAAUUUCCUUAAGUCAGAAUUCUUGGAGCUCUCGUGCCCAAACUGCAAUGCCUCAUUUUUGAGCAGGAAUUGAGGCUCAGAAGGAAGAUCUGAUUCCAGUCUGGAUCAGUUACCAGUUUUCCCUCUCACCUAAGUCUGGCAAAGAUACAAACCUCUGAAAAACACACUGUUUCAUGUACCCUUUAGAUAUCUGGUGGAGUGGGUAAGUUCUUGGAUGAUUUCAUCUCCAAACCCAAGGCUCCAGCCCAGCUUAAUCUCAGGAGUUCUUCCUCUGUAACUGAGCACUGAAGCCAAGAGCAAAGAAAUGCUAUGCUUGCAGCAGAAGCAUAUGGAUGCAUGAAGAAGAGCUGUGAAGAGCAGACAAAGACGAGGCAGACUAGUCACCACUCAGGAGCUCCUGUGGGAUGUUUUGUCUCCUCCUUCUCCUGGGAGGAAGGUUAUACCAGGAGUUUCCAGCUGUGCUCAAAUGCUGUGCAAAUAUGAACUUUUUUUAAAAAAAAAAUAUCCAUCUUUUUAAAAGGUGAGAGCCAGGCAUCUGUGCAAAGAGCUGCAGGAAAUGAUGGAUAAAGUUGGGAAGCUUGAUACAAACACGAGUGGUUCUGCAACUCAAUCUAUUUGUUUUGCGCUUAAUUGUGGCUUAGAUUGAAAUGAAGCUAAAUGCCAGCCCUGUCAGUCUAGCACAGAAAUGGUGCAAAACAUGGAAAUCCGGCUGCAAAAUUCACAUUGCUCAAGGCAAUCUGCAUUUGUAGUCGGAGGGAAAGGCAUCCCAUCUCGCUGCCCCUAUGACACACACAGUCAGCUGUUGGGGUGAUGUAUAUGCUGCUGUCUACUGUAAGUGCUGGUGAUACUUCCCAUGUAGAAAAUUCCGUCAGUGUGACAGAUAUCCUCUGCCAACACAUCGAAACGGAAAGCCUGCCGCAAUCCUAAUAGAAAUAUCCUGGGAGACUCUCAGCUCUGUUGAAUUAAGGAAGGAAGAAUAGAUCAGAUGUUUUUUUCUAAGCCCGGUUAACUCCACCAGAACAGGACACAGCUGUGAAUCCCUUGAAGGCAGCACACAUUCUCUGCCAAGUUAGAAGGCAAUUAUUCUUCAUAAAUCUGUCUGUUUAAAUUCAUGUGGAUCGAUUGCCUCGUCUAUCCUUUCCCUGUGCGAGCACCCGGAAAGGCUCUUUGGGCACCACCUCCAACAAAGCACCCCGCUUAUCAGAGAGCCACACCACGGAGGCAGUGACAGCCCCGUCAGCGCUGUCUGUCCCUU